GGGGGAGAGUGGUCUGAGUCUGUCGGAGCCAGGUGAUGCUGCAGGACUCACCUGGCUCAGCGGAGAUGCCACACGGCGCCUUGGUGAGAUUUCACCUGGGGAACAGGCUCUGUGCAGCCAGCAGCUCGCUGAGAUUCGCCCCGGCUGGAGAACAGCACCCACGCCUGCCCCCAGACCUGCUCAAAGAGGCUGCCACGUAUGUUCCCACUGGUCCCACAGCCUGCUGGUAGCAUCACCCCAUCUGCCCUGCCCUGCCCUGCCCCUGCCCUGCUGUCCAUGAGCAUCUCCCACCACUGGCGUGCGCGUGGCCGGGCUGGUUUCCCAAAUCCAGCAGUCUCUGUGGUGCUCUCCUGGGAGCAGGCACAGUUAAAUGGAUCACAGGACACUCUCCACCUCUAUUAUCUGAUUUCCCCUGAAUGCAUUUGUUCAGUCUCUGCUACGCGGCUGUUUGGUGACAGCUGUGCUCAGUGAACCAUUUUCCAAAAGCAGAGAGCAUCCAGUUAACCGCGUAACCUGGCAUCGUGACGGUAGGAGUUGAGCUGGGAAGCCCCAGCCCUGAGCUGCUUCUGCCUCUGUGGAAAUUCCUGUGGGUGAAGAAGCAAGACUGGUGCUCAGGGACCAGAUGGACUUUCCAGCAACAUCUUUCCAGUGCUGUGGUGCUGGGGCUUUCCUGUGCGUGCCAUUUCUGAGUUUUCUUUUUUUCCACGGGCAAAUAGCAGACAAGAUAAGCUGCUGCAGCAAAUGGCUUACACAGAUGUUAACGAGCAUCUAAUCUUUACAUAAUUUUUCUGCAAAAGGUGAUCAAAGUGGGAGAGUUUGGACGGGCCCCGUUCCAGGCAGCAGCGUGAGUCAAUCCCAGCCCAGGGGCCCGAGCUCAGCACUGGCCGUGGCAGCUCCAAAGGCAGCUUGUGUCCUGGCUGUUUGCCUCUUCCAGGGCCCCUUUCGAAUCUCGGCUUCAGCUGCCUUCCAGGCGAGCAAGACUUACUUUUUUUUUUUCCCCCGUGAAGGAAAUACGGCUCCCUGAGGCUCGGUUUUGAAGCGCGUGGCUGCUGCGAGCCGUGGGCAGCACGUGGGCAGCGCUGCCGGCCCCGGCCCCCGCUCACGCAGUGCUCCCCCCGAGGCAGGCUGGCUGCCCGAAACCAGGCCCUCUGCGGUCAGGGCAGGGAGGAUGUGGGCCACGGCCCUGGCUCGUGCGAUGGACCGGAGGCGCCGUCAGCGCAGCAUCCAGCUGGCGGCCCUGGCGGCCCCUGGUUUGCUGCGGGUCGUGACAGCAAGGCCGAGGAGUCGCGAGGCGGUGCCACCGUGAUGCUCUGCUCCCGGGACCGGGCGGCUGUCCCUCUGUCCCUGCUGCAGGAGGCGGAUGGCGGUCGGGGGGCACCGGCACCGACGGCUCAGCCCGCCAUCCCGAUGGCUCCCAGGUCCUUCCUCUGGGUGCUGGGGCUGCAGCCUGCAGUGCCCCGCAAUAGGCUGCUUGGGGUGCGUGUAGAGGCAUUUAUUUAAGGCAGCGAACGAGAUUCGGUCCAUCCUUUGAAAGACACCUAUCUCCAGCCAUUUGCAGGCUCUGCAGCUCGCCGCUCAGCGCAGCCCUCGCAGCCCUCGCGCGUGCAUCAGCGUGCGGAUUUGUUUACAGGAAGCAUCUGGGGAAUGCGGCCGUUCUGGGCUCUGCUUUCUCACUCACAGACAUGCCGGCCGCAGCGCCGGUCUCGCACACGGCUGUGCGGGGUGAGCAGCUCGGCGAGGCCGCGGUAGCUCUGGGCCGGCCGCCCCUGGCUGGGCACGGCGCGGGGCCAUGGGGCAGCACCGCCAGCAGCGCCUCGCCUCGCCUCGCCUCGCCCCCGGGACAGGGCAGCUGCCGCCCGAUCGCUCCGUGUGUGAAGAUUAAAAAGGCAAAAA